rnacentral:lncRNA from 1 species
CACUCAUGAACUCAUCACAACAUCCUUCAUGCUCCUCAUCCUGUGGUACCUGUCCUUGACCUGGGGGAUGUGAGUACAGCAAGAGUGAGCUCACAUACUUUCAUCGCUCAACAAGUUGUGGGGAAUAAUGUGUAUGAACUCACCAAAGGUGGGAGCUCAUAUGAAGCGUAAGGCUUACCAAAGGAGAUAGUUAAAGCUGAGCAUUGCUUUUAGAGCUGGUCAAAAUUUUAUUAGCAAUUACUAAGUAUAAGUAGAUACCAACCCAAAUGAGUACGAGAUCAAAAUUAAUAACAACACCCACAAUGCAAUGCAAAUGGCAACUUAAGUUUAGUUCCAUAGAUUAAUCAUGUGAGUGUCUGAGCCGCUCAAGACCGUGAGCACGACUGAUAUACCAGUUUUAUACUCUACAGAGGUUGCACAUCUUACCCACAAGUCAUGUAUCCCAUCUAGCCAGGGUUUCCGGCUCUUAGACACUUCCGAGGUGAAUGUCUAGGGAUCCACUACGAGGCAUUUACAAAGUUCCACUAGCUUCAGAAAACCCGCUACGGUUUCUGAGAAGGGCAAUAUAGGAAUCCCUCAUCCGAAAAGCCAUCGCAGCAUGAUCGACCCGAGAACCUCCCUAUACGCAGCUCCUCUACCGCCCUUGCCCCUUUCGAGUAAGGUAGUCCUCCACUAGCUUUCCUUAUUAGUCAGCCAAGGGCGUCUGACGUCCCAUACCACCCUUGUGGUAGCACUGUUUUUCCGAGUGGUUCUCCAUGCUCCAAUUAACAUAACGAUCUUAUCAUAAACAAUAAUCAACAACAACAAAAUUAGAGCAUGAAUAUAAUAUAACAUUACUUUCCCAAAACCAGGUAGAUCAAUAGCAAAACUACCCAAUAGUUCUUUUGUCUGCAAGGUGUGGGAUAAAUAAUGCUAGAGAAGCCUAUUAGGUUCCAUCAAAUUAACCUAAGCAUGUCACAAUGAUUAACAUGAACGUUAUUGGGUAAAGAUAAAAGUGAUCAAGGGCGCAACUUGCCUUAGACUCGAGAUUCCCAGGUGACUCGUAAAAGUUAUGGUUAACACCAACUUUGUCUUCAAGUGACUCGUAACCUCGCUGCUAAUCGUAGCAAUACAAACAAACAUAGUAUAGGCAAAAAUUAAUAGUACACCAAACACAAGAACAUACUGCAUAAUAAUGAUCUAUGCUUCGCAACUAGAUCCUAGGUUUGAGCACCACUAAAUUCGGAGAUAUGGUUAAAGAGUUAUGAUUUUUCGAAGGUUUAAGUGUUUACUAUAAAAUAAAUGAGGUAGAAGAUUUAAACAUGGGUUUCAUGGUAAUACAAGGUUACUAGAUGAUAAACAAUAUUAAUAUGAGAUUAAUGCAACUGGAAUGGAUCAAAAAAGAGUUAAAAUUAAUUACUUAUAAAUUUAACAAGUUUCUAGAAUUAUUUUUAUACUAGAAAUCAUUUUUCUGAUUUAAUUCUGAAUUUUCCUAAUGAUUCUAGACAGCGGACACAAUUAUUAUAAAUCCCAGGAUCUAAUACGCAAAUAACAGGACCUAAUCUGAAUUACUUUUACAUUCACAUGGACUGCGGGUUUAUUUUGAAAUUUCACAGGGUCUCUUACGUGAAAUCGCACAGCCGAAGGGGUUUGGAUGGAUCUCGACCGUCCGAUCAAACUCCUACAUGCCAGAUUAGAACACACUUCAACCGAACCGUUAUCCAUUUUGGGCCCUUGGAUUCUGGAUCCGCGGUUCGAUCGGUGACCACGCCGUAAGCUACUCCAAACCACACACUAAAGGAUCAAGAGCCCCGAUUUAACCACUGAAGAGGUACGCGCCACGGCUAAUCUGAGGCGUCCCUUUCUAGAUCAACGACCGAGGUCGUUCUUCUCCCCCAGGCGUUUGCCACGACAAGCAGAGCUCACCGCACGGCGGCGGUGCCGCCGGAGCAACACCCGCACACCACCCAAUGCGGCUCCUAACCUACCGACGGUUGUAUCGCAAGGAGGGGAAGAGGGCGAACAUGAAGAGGGCAUCAUACCAGUGGUGGUCACACGAAGAUGCGGGUUCACGGCGGUGCUGGCACUCUGGCGACGAAUCCAUGAUGCACCAGCCGGUUCCCCUUCGAUUGAACCCUCCCACAUCUUCUAUGCGACCAGGCCACCCUCCGGUAGCCACGCAGGAGCUCGAGACAGGUUGGUAAUGAGUAUCCGUGGCGGCGGCGGCUGGCUUGUUCUCCCUCCCUCCUUGCUCUCGGUGACAUCGCCAGGGUUCAACGAGGAAGACAGAGGACAAGGUCCCAUGGUGCUCGACUUUUAUAUCCGCCCACCAACCCUACCCAACCAGCACGGAAUCUGUCCGGAACGCCCGAGAUCCGAGUGAAGUCUAUCGUUCGCGCGGGGUCUGUUGUGAAGCGUCGCAGAGGGGAUGACAGCGCGGGCCCCAAGGGUCAGUGUCGGUGUGUGGGUGAGAAUGACAGCGCUGGCCUAAAGGUCGGCGCAGUGGCGUGGCCAUCAUGCGGCUGUGGGUGGACCCGGGCUGGCAGACGGGUAGUGGGCCGCAGGGAAGGCGCAGGUGGGCCAGGUCGUGGGAAAAUGGCCCAACUGUUGCUUUGGUCUUUUUUCGUUUUCUUUUCUAUUUCAAACAUUCAAGCCAAAUUCAAAUUUCUGUUUUGAAUUUCAGGUGUCCAAUCUCAAAGAUAAUCCUAAUGUGAAUAUAAUUCCUACUAUUUUCAAUAUUAUUAUUUAUUCUCCUUCACAUUAUUUAAUUCUAGAAGUAAUAAAUGACUUUAUUACAAUUUCAUUUCUCAUUUUAUGUUUUAUUUUUUCAUUUAUAAUUUGAGGUCAAAUUAAGUUAUGAUUCUUUUAUUUCAAUAAAAUGCAUCACAACAAAAUCGUCAUCAUGAAAUGCAUAAUUUUUAUUUAUUUAUGGGUUAAUUGACUAAUUUGACUCCAUUAAUUGAUUAUGAAAAGGAAGGGAAUUAAUAAAUCUCCAAAGUUUUUCAAAAGUUCCCAGAACACUAAAAUAAAUAAAUUUAUUUAUUUAUCUCAUUAUUUUCCUGUGAUACACAUUUUUGGGCUUUACAAAUCCUACCCCCUUAAAAAUAAUCUCGUCCUCGAGAUUAGUAAGAAAGGGAAUGUAUUAGAGUCUUGCCUCAAAACAUAUGCACAAGCAAGAAUUUAGAUAUGAUGCAUAGCUUGUUAUUUAAAACAUAUGUUCAAAUAAACCUUUUUAUUAUUCCUAAAAUAGUAAAUACUAGCUACUACCUAAUGUAUUAUUUAGGUCUUACAAAUACUACUUUCUAUAUAUAUAUAUACUAUAAUCUUGUUGCUCGUUGCUUUCUUCAUCGGCUUCUUCACCUUCAACCGGCACCUCUUUCGGGUUUUCGGGUUCACCGGGUUCAGCUUCUGCUUCCACAUGGUUGACCUGACCCGAUCGACAGAUAAGGCCUGACUCUUGCCUCCUGAGGCCUGACCUUGCUUCAUCGGAGCUAGAGUUGUAUAAGCGGCCCUGUUGGGACAGUAGUUGGCAUAGUGUCGAGUCUGUCCACAUUUGAAGCAUGACCUGUUUAUGGAUGUAUUAGGAGUAACAGGUCCAGCUGGAGUGCUUGUUUGAGGAGGAGCUGAUUGAGUCUGUUGAGUCUGUUGCCCGGAACUGCCACGAGCUAGUGUGCCUUGAGGUGCAGCACAACGGGGACGAGAACUACUUCCAACUCUCUUGUUUUCCAGAGCGAUUGCCUUGUCUAGCAGUCUCUGGAAAGAUGAAAAUAUGUGCGACAUUAGUUGGUAUUGUAGUGGCCCGAUCAAACCCUCUAGAAAUAGCUCCUGCUUUUUCUCAUCAUCAUCAACCUCCUCAGGAGCAUAUCGAGAUAGCUGGAUGAAUUUGUCUCUGUAUUCGCUUACUGACAUGCCUCCCUAUUUGAGGGAUAGGAAGUCUUUCUUUAUAAUCUUCAUAAGGCCAACAGGAAUAUGGUAAUUCCUGAAGUGAGUGGAGAAUUCUGCCCAUGAGAUGGUGUUAGCAGCAGCGUGAGCAGCGCAGUAUGCAUCCCAUCAAUCCGCAACGGGGCCAGUAAGGCGACUCGAUGCAUAUAACACUUUCUCCCUGUCGGUGCACUGGGCUAUAUUGAGCAUCUUUUAUACGGACUUUCACCAGACGUCAGAAUGUAGUGGGUCUGAGGAGUUAGAGAAUGUAGGUGGCUUGUGACUCAUAAGCUCCCGGUGCUUAUCCCUGGGCGGAGCUGGUGGUGGUGGAUGUGGUGGUUGUUGCCGUUCUUGACACAUUUUCUGUCGUUCUUCACGGAUCUGUGCUUGCAUUUCUGUCAUUGUGUUGGCCAUUUGUUGUAAUAGUCACAUUUGAGCAGCAGUCAUGUUGAAAGUCGACUAGAGGGGGAGUGAAUAGGGCGAAUCUGAAAUUUAUAAACUUAAGCACAACUACAAGCCGGGUUAGCGUUAGAAAUAUAAACGAGUCUGAGAGAGAGGGCGCAAAACAAAUCGUGAGCAAAUAAAGAGCGAGACACGAUGAUUUGUUUUACCGAGGUUCGGUUCUUGCAAACCUACUCCCCGUUGAGGUGGUCACGAAGACCGGGUCUCUUUCAACCCUUUCCCUCUCUCAAACGGUCACUUAGACCGAGUGAGCUUCUCUUCUCAAUCAAACGGAACACAAAGUUCCCGCAAGGACCACCACACAAUUGGUGUCUCUUGCCUUGGUUACAAUUGAGUUUGAUCACAAGAAGAAUGAGAAAGAAAAGAAGCGAUCCAAGCGCAAGAGCUCAAAUGAACACAAAUGUCGCUCUCUCUAGUCACUAUUUGAUUUGGAGUGAUUCCGGACUUGGGAGAGGAUUUGAUCUCUUUGGAAUGUCUAGAAUUGAAUGCUAUAGCUCAUGUAAUGUGUUGAAGGUGGAAAACUUGGAUGCCAUUGAAUGUGGGGUGGUUGGGGUAUUUAUAGCCCCAACCACCAAAAUAUGGCCGUUGGAAGGCUGCUGUCGCCAAAGUUCUAGUAUCUAAUGUCAAAGGAUCCAAAACCAUUUGGGUACCUAAAGUCAAGAACUAAACUUGUUUUGUAGGUUUAUGCAUCCGGGGGCUCAAGUUGGAUCAUCGAUAGCGGGUGCACAAACCAUAUGACAGGGGAGAAGAAGAUGUUCUCCUUCUAUGAGAAAAAUCAAUAUCCCCAAAGAGCGAUCACAUUCGGGGAUGGAAACCAAGGUUUGGUCAAAGGAUUGGGUAAAAUUGCUAUAUCACCUGACCAUUCCAUUUCCAAUGUUUUUCUUGUAGAAUCUUUAGAUUACAACUUGCUUUUAGUUUCGCAAUUAUGUAAAAUGGGGUACAACUGUCUUUUUACAGAUGUAGGUGUUACUGUCUUUAGAAGAUGUGAUGAUUCAAUAGCGUUUAAGGGAGUGUUAGAGGGUCAGCUAUACUUAGUAGAUUUUCAUAGAGCUGAACUCGACACUUGCUUAAUUGUUAAGACUAACAUGGGCUGGCUCUGGCAUCGCCGACUAGCACAUGUUGGAAUGAAGAAUCUUGACAAGCUUCUAAAGGGAGAACACAUUUUGGGACUAACAAAUGUUCAUUUUGAGAAAGACAGGAUUUGUAGCGCAUGUCAGGCAGGAAAGCAAGUUGGUGUUCAUCAUCCACACAAGAACAUCAUGACGACUGAUAGGCCACUCGAGCUCCUACACAUGGACCUUUUCGGUCCGAUAGCUUACAUAAGCAUCGACGGGAGUAAGUACUGUCUAGUUAUUGUGGAUGAUUGUUCUCGCUUCACUUGGGUGUUCUUCUUGCAGGAAAAAUCUCAUACCCAAGAGACCUUAAAGGGAUUCUUGAGACGAGCUCAAAACGAGUUUGGCUUAAGGAUCAAGAAAAUAAGAAGCGACAACGGGACGGAGUUCAAGAACUCUCAAAUUGAAGGCUUCCUUGAGGAGGAGGGCAUCAAGCAUGAGUUCUCUUCUCCCUACACCCCACAACAAAAUGGUGCAGUGGAGAGGAAGAAUAGAACUUUAUUGGACAUGGCAAGAACCAUGCUUGAUGAGUACAAGACUUCGGAUCAGUUUUGGGCCGAGGCGGUCAACACCGCUUGCUACGCCAUCAACCGGUUAUAUCUACACCGAAUCCUCAAGAAGACAUCAUAUGAACUCCUAACCGGUAAAAAUCCCAAUGUUUCAUAUUUUAGAGUCUUUGGUAGCAAAUGCUUUAUUCUUGUUAAAAGAGGUAGAAAAUCCAAAUUUGCUCCUAAGGCUGUAGAAGGCUUUUUACUAGGAUAUGAUUCAAACACAAGGGCAUAUAGAGUCUUUAACAAGUCCUCUGGACAAGUUGAAGUUUCUUGUGACAUUGUGUUUGAUGAGACUAACAGCUCUCAAGUAGAGCAAGUUGAUCUUGAUGAGAUAGGUGAUGAAGAGGCUCCGCGCGUCGCACUAAGGAACAUGUCCAUUGGGGAUGUGUGUCCUAAGGAAUCCGAAGAGCCACCUCAAGCACAAGAACAACCAUCUUCCUCCACACAAACAUCUCCACCAACUCAAGAUGAGGAUAAGGCUCAAAAUGAUGAAGGAGAAGAUCAAGAAGUUGAGCCACCUCAAGAGGAGAGCAAUGAUCAAGGGGGAGAUGCCCAUGAUCAAGAUGAGGAAGAUGAACAAGUUCCGAGACCGCCAAACCCAAGAGUCCACCAAGCAAUUCAACGAGAUCACCCCGUGAACACCAUCCUCGGCGACAUUCAAAAGGGGGUAAUUACUCGAUCUCGUGUUGCUCAUUUUUGUGAACACUACUCGUUUGUUUCCUCUAUUGAGCCACACAGGGUAGAGGAAGCACUACAAGAUUCGGAUUGGGUGGUGGCGAUGCAAGAGGAUGUAAUACCCAAAAAUGUAUACAAGGGAAUAUAGUUGAUCUCCCUAUUUUAUGUGCCAUAUAUUCAUCAUAACAAAAGCAUACCUAUAUGUAAGAGUGAUUAGUUAAAAUAAAUGGUACUAAAAUGGAAUAUGCAUCAUGUUGGAGUUAUAUGUUUGUGCAUUAAAUAAAAAUAAAAAGGAUAAUAACAAUAAGAUAAUAAAUAUUAGAAGUGGAAUUAAAACCCUAAAUUUGAAGGUAGGGUUUUAUAAAUAAGAAAGAGAGAAAGGUGAUAUAAAUAAUAUAUAUAAUUAUAUUUCUAAAAAUUGGGAUUUUAGAUUUCACAAUAUCAUUUGAAAAUAAAUUCGGCACUAAUUUGGAUUCAAAAUUUGAAUUGGAUUUGAAAAUAAAAAGGGAAAUGAAUAGAAAAGAAAAGAAUAAAACCAACCAGCCUAACUGGACCCCAACCUUGUAUUCGGCCCAGUAAGCAAGUCAGCCCGCGCCAGCCUACUGACAGUCGGGGCCCGCCCGUCGGUCCCACAGCUUGUGCGCUCUGUUUAUCAACCUAGCGCCGACACAAGGGUCCCACCGUCCAGUCGCUGUCUCGCGCUCGUCCCUUCUCCCGUUCCCUGUCGCGUGGGUCCAAGAUGUCAGCCAACGAGCGCGCAGAGUCAUCAACAACCUCCGAACGACGCGGCAUGGGCGGUCAUGCCGAACUCCGCGGUUCCGCCGCUGACCGAAUUCGGCUGGGGAUCCGGGGUCGGUCUCUCCCGCGUGCUGGUAUAAAUUCAGGACCCUGGGACUUCUGCCUCGCAUCUCCGAGCUCGGCCAUCCUCAAACCCUACCCAUCAGUGCUCACUCCGUCGUGGCGGAUUCGGGAUCGAAUUCACCAACCGGGGCGGCCGCCAUGGGUGGCGCUCGGGGCCCUGGGUUCGGUCAGUGGAGAUCACCGUGGUGUGCCUGACGUACGCGUUGCGGUGUCUUGUGUGGUAGACGACCGUGGUGCCGCGAAUUGCUCGCCGGAGUCAUUGACUCCGCGGAUUGCCGCCCUCCGCCGUGGAUAGAACUCCUGCUCACGUAACGCGUGGUAAGUGCCCUCUCAUCCUGUGUGCCAUAAUCUCCUCUGCGCGUAGCUCGCUUCCAGUGGGGCUUGGGGCUCCGGGGGCGCCGACUUCGAGAUCUCCGGCAAGGUCACCGCCGCCUAUGGGGUCUGCGCCGCCAUGGAAUGAUCGUAGGGAUGAAGAAGAGCCUGUAGCCGUCGAUCUGUGAUUGGGCGCGCAUGAUUAGAUCUGGGGGGGAACUGAAUCCUAACCGUUGGAUCCAGCUGGAACGGCCGAGAUUAGAUCCCAGGUACUGGUUCGGCCAGAAGUAAUCCAAGCCGUUGAUCGAUGGAUGGAGGGGCCAAGGGUGAUCCUGGCGUUUUAGAAUCCAGGGCAUUGAUCUCAGAUCCAAGGGCUCAUAUUACAUACCGUUUCAUUUAAAGCACGAUCUAAUCCGGGCCGCCCGAUUUCUAUCCUGCGGCUCAGCUCUAACCGUACCCCUUCGCGAGCGUGUUUUUCAAAAGAGUCCCUGGACUAUAUAAGAAUCAACCCGCCAUCCUACGCGACUAUGCUCUGUGUCUUAGGAGUUUUACCCCGAGCCCCCUGCUGUUCUCAGAUUUUGAGGCGCAGUCCAGGAAUUAAAUAAAACCAGAAAAAUAGAUUUAGAAAUUGAUUUUGAGUAUAAAAAUAAUUGUAAAACUUGGGUAAUUCAUAGAAAAUUCAUAUUAAGCCCAAAUUAAUCCGUUCCAAUUCCUAUAAUUUUGUAAUAUUAUUGUCUAUCAUCUAGUACUACUGUUUUGACAUGAAAGUCACAUCAAAAUUUAUAUCCCAUUUAAUCUUGUACAAAACACAUAGAAUCUUCAUAAAAUCAUAACUCCUCUGUUUUAACUCCGAUUUGAUUCGUUCAAGUUCCGUUAGUCUCGUAUCAGCGUAGAUUAUUAUUAUUCAGUUUGUUCUUAUGUUUGGGGUGAUGUUAAUUUUGCCUAUACCAUGUAUGUUUGUAUUACUACGACUAGCAGUGAGGUCACGAGAAUCUGAAGAUCAUCCUGGUACCUGGAAUCUCAAGUCUCAGGCAAGUUGUGCCCUUGAUCACUUCUUUUACCCACUCAUGUUCUAAUUAAUCAUAAUGAUCUGCAUAGGUUAAUUUUGAUGGGACCUAAUAGGUUACCCUAGUUUGUCUAUCUUUAUGCCUUGUUUACCCCUGAACUUUUUGGGUAGUACUUGCUAGUGCUAUAUGUGGUUUUGGGCAUUGAGAUACACAUUAUUCAUGAUUAUACUUUUGUUAUCCGUUGUUAUUUACUGUUCAUGUCAAGAUCAUUAAUGUUAAUUGGAACAUAGAGCUUAACUUGAGAAACACGUGCCACCACAAGGGUUUAUGGACGCCCUUGGCUGAUUAAUUAGGAAAGCUAGUAGAGGACUACCUUACCCGAAAGGGGCAAGGGCAGUAGGGGAGUGGUCAGUGUAGGGAGGUCCUUGCUUGAUUUUGCUGCGAUGGCGGUCAGGCAAGAACCCUGCAUUGGAGCUUCCUAUAAACUGUAGCGGGUUUUCUGAAGCUAGUGGAACUUUGUAAAGGCCUCGUAGUGUUACCCUGCCUCGCCUCCUCGGUAGAGGUGUAUGGGAAGUCGCGAUCCCUUGGCAGAUGGGUAACAUGACUUGUGGGUAAAGGGUACCACCUCUGCAGAGUGUAAAACUGGUAUACUAGCCGAGCUCACGGUCAUGAGCAGCUCAGGACUCUCUGAUGAUUAAUUUAUGGAACUAAAUUCAAUUUGUCAUAUGCAUUGCAUCGCAGGUGAUGAUGUUACUUUUGUUCUACUACUUAAUUGGGUUGGUAUUUACUUAUACUUAGUAACUGCUAAUAAAAUUUUGACCAACUUUAAAAGCAAUGCUCAGCUCUAACCAUCCUCUUUGGUAAGCCUUACACUUCACGUGAUCUCCCACCUUUGGCGAGUUCAUGCACAUUAUUCCCCACAACUUGUUGAGCGAUGAACGUAUGUGAGCUCACUCUUGCUGUCUCACACCCCCCCACAGGUCAAGAACAGGUACCACAGGAUGAGGAGCAUGGAGGAUGCUGUGAUGAGUUCGUGAGUGGUCUAGGUCGUCGUCUCCCAGUCAACUUUGGUUGCUGGACCAUUGUCUCCUUAUAAUGUAAUUAUUUAUUUUGUAUAGAACUCCUGUUAUGUAGUAAAGUUGUGACAUUCGAUCCUGUGCCAUGAUGCAUCAUAUGUGUGAGACUUGGUCCCAGCACACCUGGUGUUUAUGUUCGCGCCCGGGUUUUGGACCCCUAAAAUCCGGGUGUGACAGAGGAGCUCAACAACUUCACUAGGAAUGAGGUAUGGCAUUUGGUUCCAUGUCCUAACCAAAAUGUUGUAGGAACCAAGUGGGUUUUCCGAAACAAGCAAGACGAGCAUGGUGUGGUGACAAGGAACAAAGCUCGACUUAUGGCCAAGGGAUAUUCACAAGUCGAAGGUUUGGAUUUCAGUGAAACCUAUGCACCCAUAGCUAGGCUAGAAUCAAUUCGUAUUUUACUUGCCUAUGCUACUUACCAUGGCUUCAAGCUUUACCAAAUGGACAUGAAAAGUGCCUUCCUCAAUGGACCAAUCAAGGAAGAGGUCUAUGUUGAGCAACCUCCCGGCUUUGAAGAUAAUGAGUAUCCUAAUCACAUAUAUAAGCUCUCUAAGGCGCUUUAUGGGCUCAAGCAAGCCCCAAGAGCAUGGUAUGAAUGCCUAAGAGAUUUUCUUAUCACUAAUGGCUUCAAAGUCGGAAAGGCUGAUCCUACUUUAUUUACUAAAACUCUUGACAAUGAUUUGUUUGUAUGCCAAAUUUAUGUUGAUGAUAUUAUAUUUGGGCCUACUAACGAAUCUACAUGUGAGGAAUUUAGUAGGAUCAUGACAUAGAAAUUUGAGAUGUCAAUGAUGGGGGAGUUGAAGUACUUCUUGGGAUUUCAAGUGAAGCAACUCCAAGAGGGCACCUUCAUUAGCCAAACAAAGUAUAUUCAAGACAUUCUAAACAAGUUUGGGAUGAAGGAUGCCAAGCCCAUCAAGACACCCAUGGGAACCAAUGGGCAUCUCGACCUCGACACGGGAGGUAAAUCCGUUGAUCAAAAGGUAUACCGGUCGAUGAUAGGCUCUUUACUCUAUUUAUGUGCAUCUCGACCGGAUAUUAUGCUUUCCGUAUGCAUGUGUGCAAGAUUCCAAGCCGACCCUAAGGAAGCUCACCUUAUGGCCAUAAAACGAAUCUUGAGAUAUUUAGUUCAUACUCCUAAGUUUGGGCUUUGGUAUCCUCGGGAUCCACAUUUGAUUUAAUUGGUUAUUCGGAUGCUGAUUGGGCAGGGUGUAAAAUUAAUAGAAAGAGCAUAUCGGGGACUUGCCAGUUCUUGGGAAGGUCCCUGGUGUCUUAGGCUUCAAAGAAGCAAAAUUCCGUAGCUCUUUCUACCGCCGAAGCCGAGUAUAUUGCCGCAGACCAUUGUUGCGCACAAUUACUUUGGAUGAGGCAAACCCUUAGGGACUAUGGUUACAAAUUAACCAAAGUUCCUCUUCUAUGUGAUAAUGAGAGUCCAAUCUGCAUGGCGGAUAAUCCCGUUGAGCAUAGCCGCACUAAACACAUAGCCAUUCGGUAUCAUUUUCUAAGGGAUCACCAACAAAAGGGAGAUAUCGAGAUUGCAUAUAUUAACACUAAGGAACAAUUAGCUGAUAUCUUUACCAAGCCACUAGAUGAACAAACUUUUAACAAACUUAGGCAUGAGCUGAAUAUUCUUGAUUCUAGGAAUUUCUUUUGAUGUUUUGCACACAUAGCUCAUAAAAAUACCUUUGAUCAUGUCUCUUUUAUAUGCUAUGACUAAUGUGUUUUCAAGUGUAUCUCAAACCAAGUCAUAGAUUGAAAGAGAAUUGGAGUCUUCGGCAAAGACAAAGGCUUCUACUCCACUCCAUCAAACUACUCAUCCUUCGCCGUCGCUCCGAGCAUCUCUCCGUCUUUGGUAUAAUCUUCACUCAUACUUUAUUUGCCAAAGGGGAGAAAGUAGUUAAAAAGGGCUUAUAUUUCACUUAAGUAUCUGUUUUUGGCGAUUCAUGCCAAAGGGGGAGAAAGUAUUGGCCCAAAGCAAAAGGACCGCACCACCACCCAUAUUCAAAAGGUUUUAAAAUGAUGAAUUUUUCAAUUGAUAUCUUAUUAUAUUCAAAAGGGGGAGAAAGUAGCACUUUCAAAAUUGGUAUCUUAAAACCCUCGGAUUUUAUUAAGGGGGAGUUUUGUUUAGUCAAAGGAAAAGCAUUUGAAACAGGGGGAGAAAAUUUCAAAUCUUGAAAAUGCUUCUCAAAAUCUUAUUCAUUUACCUUUGACUAUUUGCAAAAGGACUUUGAAAAGGAUUUACAAAAGAAUUUGCAAAAACAGAACAUGUGGUGCAAGCGUGGUCCAAAAUGUUAAAGAUAAAGAAACAAUCCAUGCAUAUCAAAUGAAAAUAUUUAUUGGUUCAAUUCUAAGUAUCCUUUGCACUUACAUUAUGCAAACUAGUUCAAUUAUACACUUCUAUACUUGCUUUGGUUUGUGUUGGCAUCAAUCACCAAAAAGGGGGAGAUUGAAAGGGAAUUAGGCUUACACCUAUUUCCUAAUUGAUUUUGGUGGUUGAAUUGUCCAACACAAAUAAUUGGACUAACUAGUUUGCUCUAGUCUAUAAGUUCUACAGGUGCCAAAGGUUCACAAUAAGCCAAUAAAAAGACCAAGAAAGGGUUCAAACAAAGAGAGCAAAAGACAUCCCAAAAGGCACCCUGGUCUGGCGCACUGGACUGUCCGGUGUGCCACCGGACAGUGUCCGGUGCACCAGGGCACUCGAAGCUAAACUUGCCACCUUCGGGAAAAUCAGAGGGCGCUCCGCUAUAAUUCACCGGACUGUCCGGUGAAGCACCGAACAAGGAGCAACGACUACUUCGUGCGCAACGGUCGACUGCAACGCAUUAAAUGCGCGCCUGCGCGCGCAGAGGACAGAGGACGCAUAGUUGGCGCACCGGACAGUCUACAGGACCUGUCCGGUGCACCACCAGACAGCCCAGAGGCCCCACAAGUCAGAGCUCCAACGGUCGAACCCCAAUGGUCCGCUGACGUGGAUGGCGCACCGGACUGUCCGGUGCGCCAUGCGACAACAGCCUUCCAAUGGCCAUUUUUGGUGGUUGGGGCUAUAAAUACCCCAACCACCCCACAUUCAAUGGCAUCCAAGUUUUCCACCUUCAACACAUUACAAGAGCUAUAGCAUUCAAUUCUAGACACUCCAAAGAGAUCAAAUCCUCUCCCAAGUCCAAAGACAACUCAAAUCAAUAGUGGCUAGUGAGAGAGUGAUAUUUGUGUUCAUUUGAGCUCUUGCGCUUGGAUUGCUUCUUUUCUUUCUCAUUCUUUCUUGUGAUCAAAGCUAAAUUGUAACCGAGGCAAGAGACACCAAUUGUGUGGUGGUCCUUGCGGGAACUUUGUGUUCCGUUUGAUUGAGAAGAGAAGCUCACUCGGUCUAGGUGACCGUUUGAGAGAGGGAAAGGGUUGAAAGAGACCCGGUCUUUGUGACCACCUCAACGGGGAGUAGGUUUGCAAGAACCGAACCUCGGUAAAACAAAUCAUCGUGUCUCGCUCUUUAUUUGCUCAUGAUUUGUUUUGCGCCCUCUCUCUCGGACUCGUUCUUAUUUCUAACGCUAACCUGGCUUGUAGUUGUGCUUAAAUUUAUAAAUUUCAGAUUUGCCCUAUUCACCCCCCCCCUUUAGGCGACUUUCAGGUAUUUAUAGCCCCAACCACCAAAAUAUGGCCGUUGGAAGGCUGCUGUCGCAUGGCGCACCGGACAGUCCGGUGCGCCAGCCACGUCAGCAAGCCGUUGGGGUUCGACCGUGGGAGCUCUGACUUGUGGGGCCUCUGGGCUGUCCGGUGGUGCACCGGACAGGUCCUGUAGACUGUCCAGUGCGCCAACUACGCGUCCUCUGUCCUCUGCGCGCGCAGGCGCGCAUUUAAUGUGUUGCAGUCGACCGUUGCGCGUGAAGUAGUCGUUGCUCCGCUGGCACACCAGACAGUCCGGUGUGACACCGGACACUGUCCGGUGCUUCACCGGACAGUCCGGUGAAUUAUAGCGGAGCGGCCUCCCAUUUUCCCGAAGGUGGCGAGUUCAGCGUCGUGUGCCCUGGUGCACCGGACACUGUCCGGUGCGCCAGACCAGGGUGCCUUUGGGUUGUCUUUUGCUCUCUUUGUUUGAACCAUUUCUUGGUCUUUUUAUUGGCUUAUUAUGAACCUUUGGUACCUGUAGAACUUAUAGACUAGAGCAAACUAGUUAGUCCAAUUAUUUGUGUUGGGCAAUUCAACCACCAAAAUCAAUUAGGAAAAAGGUGUAAGCCUAAUUCCCUUUCACAUGUCAUCAGCAGGCGGGGGAUUCGGAGAAGGAUUCAUUUCUGGUUCUAGAUUAGCUACAACCCUUCUUCAAUGAAUUCGUGUGGGUAGAUCAACACCUCCUCCCCACCUGGUAUUAACCAUCUAGGUUAGAGGCAUAUGGUAAGAUGGUUUGGAAGAAGGAUAAUUUAAUAGGCAGAACAUAUAGCCUAGUAGUUGGUCAUAAACUGAAGGAUCUUAGGCAGAACUUUGAUCUGUUGUUUUGUGUCUAUGUCGGGAUAACUAAGCUUAUUAGAUGAAUCUCCAAGGAUAAGAUGGAAUUUGAUAAGAUAGAUAUGUGAUAUUAGCUACAUUUUAAUAUGGAAUAAUCUAGGUUGGCUAGUUAUCUUAUAAACACAUUUUUAUGCCUAUAUGUAUACGCAGAUGUAAUUGUGGACAUUACUCCACAACUCAUCACACUCAAUCAAAGAACCAAAUCAAACGGUUAUCGUAAGAACAAACAUUCAAGCAUAUAGAUACCUAAAAAAUAGUUUUGUUUUUGUUCCUAAGAUUAGGUCUCCUAUUCCUAAAGGUCACUUUAGGUACAAGAUUUCAAAGUGUGAAAUCCACUUUUGGUUUCAGGAAAAAAGGUCAAAGUAAUCAGAGUAAAGCAGCAAUAGAUGACAAAAGAUUAAGGUAAGUUUAGAAAAAAAUAGAGUAGCAAAGUUAAGGGUUGUCUAGUUCUAUCUAGGUUUCGUCCUAUAGUCAAUAUUGCUCUGAUACCACUUCUGUCACACCCAGGUUUUAGGGGUCUAAACCCGGGUGCGAACUUCACCAAGUGUGUGCUAGAAUCAAGUAUCACACAUAUGAUGACUCAUGGUACAAAAACAAAUGUCACAUCUUUAACAUAUAAUAGAGUUCUAUACAAAAUAGUUAAAUAAUUACAUCAUACGAAGACAACGAUCCAGCAACCAAAGUUGACUAGGAGACGAUGGCCUAAACCACUCACAAACUCAUCACAACAUCCUUCAUGCUCCUCAUCCUGUGGUACCUGUCCUUGACCUAGGGGGGAUGUGAGUACAGCAAGGGUGAGCUCACAUACGUUUAUCACUCAGCAAGUUGUGGGGAAUAAUGUGCAUAAACUCACUAAAGGCGGGAGCUCAUGUGAAGUGUCAGGCUUACCAAAGGAGAUGGUUAAAGCUGAGCAUUGCUUUUAGAGUUAGUCAAAAUUUUAUUAGCAAUUAUUAAAUAUAAAUAGAUACCAACCCAAGUGAGUAUGAGAUCAAAAUUAAUAACAACACCCACAAUACAAUGCAAAUGGCAAAUUAUUUUUAAUUCCAUAGAUUAAUCAUGUGAGUGUUCGAGCCGCUCAUGACCGUGAGCACGACUAAUAUACCAGUUUUACACUCUGCAGAGGUUGCACAUCUUUACCCACAAGUCGUGUAUCCCGUCUAGCUAGGGUUUGCAAGGCCCUUAGACACUUCUGAGGUGAAUGGCUAGGGAUCCACUACGAGGCCUUUACAAAGUUCCACUAGCUUCAGAAAACCCGCUACGAUUUCUGAGAAGGGCAAUAUAGGAAUUCCUCGUCCGAGAAGCCAUCGUAGCAUGAUUGACCCGAGAACCUCCCCAUACGCAGCUCCUCUACUGCCCUUGCCCCUUUUGGGUAAGGUAGUCCUCCACUAACUUUCCUAAUUAGUCAGCCAAGAGCGUCUCAUACCACCCUUGUGGUAGCACUAUUUUCUCGGGUGGUUCUCCAUGUUACAAUUAACAUAAUGAUCUUAUCAUGAACAGUAAUCAACAACAACAAGAUUGGAACAUUAAUAUAAUAUAACAGUAUUUUCCCAAAACCAGGUAGAGCAACAACAAAACUACCCAAUAGUUCUUUUGUCUGCAAGGUGUGGGAUAAACAAUGCUAGGGAAGCCUAUUAGGUCCCAUCAAUUUAACCUGAGCAUGUCAUAGUGAUUAACAUGAACAUUAUUGGAUAAAGAGAAAAGUGAUCAAGGGCACAACUUGCCUUAGACUCGAGAUUCUCAGGAACCAACUUGGUCUUCAAGUGACUCGUAACCUCGUUGCUAAUCGUAGCGAUACAAACAAACAUAGUAUAGGCAAAAAAUAACAUUACACCAAACAUAAAAACACACUGCAUAAUAAUGAUCUACACUUCGCAACUAGAUCCUAGGUUCGAGAACCACUAAAUUCGGAAUUACAGUUAAAGAGUUAUGAUUUUCCGAAGGUUUAAGUGUUUACUAUAAACUAAAUGAGGUACAAGAUUUAAACAUGGGUUUCAGGGUAAUACAAGGUUACUAUAUUAUAAACAAUAUUAAUAUGAGAUUAAUGCAACUGGAAUGGAUAAAAAAGGAGUUAAAAUGAAUUACUUAUGAAUUUAACAAGUUUCUAGAAUUAUUUUUAUACUAGAAAUAAUUUUUUUUGAUUUAAUUCUGAAUUUUCCUAAUGAUUCUAGAUUGCAGACACAAUUAUUAUAAACCCCAGGGUCUAGUACGCAAAUAGCAGGACCUAAUCUGAAUUACUUUUACAUUCACAUGGACUGCGGGUUUAUUUUUAAAUUUCACAGGGUCUCUUACGUGAAAUCGCACAGCCAAAGGGGUUUAGAUGGAUCUCGGUCGUCCGAUCAAACUCCUACGCACCAGAUUAGAACACACUUCAUUCAAACCGUUAUCCAUUUUGGGCCCUUGGAUUCUGGAUCCGUGGUCCGAUCGAUGACCACGCCGUAUGCUAAUCCGAACCACACGCUAUAGGAUCAAGGGCCCCGAUUUAACCACUGAAGAGGUACGCGCCACUGCUAAUCUAAGGCGUCCCUUUCCAGAUCAACAACCGAGGUCGUUCUUCUCCCCCAAGCGUUUGCCAUGGCGAGCAUAGCUCAUCGCGCGGCGGCGGUGCCGUUGGAGCAACGCCCGCACUCCACCCAGUGCGGCUCCUAACCUACCGACAGCUGUAUCACAAGGAGGGGAAGAGGGCGAACAUGAUGAGGGCAUCAUACUAGUGGUGGUCACGACGGAGAGGUUGGUCACACAAAGAUGCGGGUCCGCGACGGUGAUGGCACUCCGGCGACGAAUCCGGGAUGCACCAGCCGGUUUCUCCUUAUAUGAGCCCUCCCUCAGCUUCUAUGCGGCAAGGCCACCCUCAGGCAGCCACGCGGGAGCUCGAGCCGGGUUGGUAACGAGUAUCUGCGGCGGCGGUCAGCUUGCACUCCCUCCCUCUUUGCUCUCGGUGACAUCGCCUGGGUUCAGCAAGGAAGACUGAGGACAAGGUCCCAUGGUGCUCGACUUUUAUAGCCGCCCAUCAACCCUACCUAGCCUGCGCGGAAUCCAUGAGGGUCGUGCCUAGGGCAGGGCGUGAGAGGCGGCCGACCUGGGCCCCCAUCUCCCAGGGGCCCCACCGCACACAUUUACACAAAGUCCAAUAGAAAUAUAUGAUCAAAACUAGGUUAGUAGGGCAGCCGCACCAUCCUUACUCCUGUUGGCUGUUGCAUGGCUGCCUGCCGCCGCUGCAGCGCUGCUGGCUUGCUGCCUGCCGCCUCCUUUCUUGCCGCCUCUCGAAUUUGCCGCUGCUGCUUGCUUGUUUACCUUCACAAUUCUUGCUCUUGCUUCAUGCACAGCAGGUAGGAGAUCUAAAUACUCGAGACAAUCUGUGGUACCUGCUACACCGAUGCAUUUGGUACAUUUCUCCUGAAAAAAAAGUACACAGGAGGCAAAAGCUUGAAAAAAAAACAUGUCUUGUGAUUUCGUGCACAUUGUUUUAUUAAUUUCUUGCAGAUUGUUGUUGACAUUAUGCCUUCUAGAAAAUAUGCAUCAGGUAGCCAAAAAAGAAAAAGAAGGAAACACAGAUGAUUUUGUCUUGUCACAGAAAGGAGCCAUAAAUAAAUUUCUGUGGUACAUCAAGUAUAAUUAGUUGAUAUAUAUAAUAGUAAAAAAUAGUUUUUUAUGGUGUUGGAGCCUCUGUUUAUAAUUGAGAGCACCUAGAGGGGGGGGGGUGAAUAGGUGAUCCUGUAAACUUCAAAACUUAAGCCACAAAACUUUGAUUAAGUGUUAGCACAGUUAAUUGCCAAGUGGCUAGAGAGGAGCCAAGACACAAUAAUCACAAGAAAUCAAUCACAGAGAUGACACGGUGGUUAUCCCGUGGUUCGGCCAAGUACAAAACUUGCCUACUCCACGUUGUGGCGUCCCAACGGACGAGAGUUGCACUCAACUCCUCUCAAGUGAUCCAAUGAUCAACUUGAAUACCACGGUGUUCUUCUUUUCUUUGAUCUUUUCCCGUUUGCGAGGAAUCUCCACAACUUGGAGUCUCUCGCCCUUACAAUUGAAUUUCACAAAGAAGCACGGAGUAAGGGAGGGAAGCAACACACACAAAUCCACAGCAAGAUGCGCACACACACGGCCAAGAAACGAGCUCAAGAGACUAUCUCAAAGUUCACACUAGAACGAGCUCGAAUCACUGAGAAUGACAAACGAAUGCGCAAAGACUGAGUGUGGAUGAUCAAGAAUGCUCUAAGGUUGCUUGGUUAUCUCCUCCAUGCGCCUAGGGGUCCCUUUUAUAGCCCCAAGGCAGCUAGGAGCCGUUGAGAGCAAAUCUGGAAGGCUGAUCUUGCCUUCUGUCGUCGGGCGCACCGGACAGUCCGGUGCACACCGGACACUGUCCGGUGCCCGAUUUCCUUCCUUAAACAGCGCAGUCGACCGUUGCUGAUCUGGGAGCCGUUGGCGCACCGGACAUGUCCGGUGCACACCGGACAGUCCGGUGCCCCCUUCCGACCGUUGGCUUGGCCACGUGUCGCGCGCAGAAUCCGCGGCCGACCGUUGGCCCUAGUCGACCGUUGACUCACCGGACAGUCCGGUGCACACCGGACAGUCCGGUGAAUUAUAGCCGUACGCCGUCGGCGAAUUCCCGAGAGCGGCCUGUUCGGCCGAGGCAGCCUGGCGCACCGGACACUGUCCGGUGCACCACCGGACAGUCCGGUGCCCUAGACCGAAACAGCCCCUUGGCUGUACACAGCCACCUUUUUCCUUUUCUUUUUCUUCCUGUUUCCAGUACUUAGACAAGUAUAUUAGUACACAAAACCAAUGUACUAAGACUUAGAAACAUACCUUUGCUCUUGAUUUGCACUUUGUUCAUCCAUUGCAUAAAUUCACAUUUUAAGCACUUGAGUUGGCACUCAAUCACCAAAAUACUUAGAAAUGGCCCAAGGGCACAUUUCCCUUUCAAUCUCCCCCUUUUUGGUGAUUUAUGCCAACACAACAUAAAGCAACUAGAACAAGUGCGAAAUCACUUCAAAUAAAAUUCAAAUUGAUUUUGACUCAAUUUUGGCAUAUAUGGAUCAUCCUUUGCCACCACUUGGUUUGUUUUUGGAAAUCAAACUCAAAUCUCUAUCUCUAUGUCAAACACACAUAUUGAGGCAUAAAGAGAGUCAUUCCGAAAGAGAUUGAUCAAAGAUUUCAAAACUCCCCCUAUUUCCCAUAAUCAACAUUUCUCCCCAUACGAAGCCAACUUUUGACAAGAGAGACAAUAAAAGAGUUUAACAAAACAAAAACUCUAUUCUACUACUUUCAAAAUCUCUCAAGUGGUAGCUGAUCCAUUUAUCCAUUUAUCGCUUUGGCCUUUAUUUUCUCCCCCUUUGGCAUCAAGCACCAAAACGGGAUCAAUCUUGGCCCUUUAACCCCAUUGCCUCACCAAAAUCUUCAGUAAGAAUACAAAGGCAAUAAGAGUCUAAAGAUGAACUUGGAAUAAGUUACCCUCUCAUCGGAGUGCAGUGGAAGUCUUUCAUGGUCCAAGUCCACCUUAUCCCUUUCAACCCUCCUUCGAGACUAAAUCAUCAAACUCAAGCACAUGGUUAGUCUCAAAGGGUCAAGUUGUAACACAUCUCCCCCUAAACAUGUGCAUCACUUUGCAACGGACUUGUGAGGUCCAGGGAGUGUUUGUACAACUUGAGCACCACAAUAAGCAACAAAAUGCAAAAAGGAACAUGAUCAAAAGCAUAACUACAUGUAUGCUACAAUUCAAUCCAGGUUCCGCGAAUCUAAGACAUUUAGCUCACUACGCAACCUGCAAAAGGUCUUCUCAUCUAGAGGCUUGGUAAAGAUAUCGGCUAGCUGGUUCUCGGUGCUAACAUGAAACACUUCGAUAUCUCCCUUUUGCUGGUGGUAUCUCAAAAAGUGAUGCCGGAUGUCUAUGUGCUUUGUGCGACUGUGUUCAACAGGAUUUUCCGCCAUGCGGAUAGCACUCUCAUUAUCACAUAGGAGUGGGACUUUGCUCAGAUUGUAGCCAAAGUCCCGGAGGGUUUGCCUCAUCCAAAGUAGUUGCGCGCAACACUGUCCUGCGGCAACAUACUCGGCCUCAGCGGUGGAUAGGGCAACGGAGGUUUGUUUCUUAGAAUUCCAUGACACCAGGGACCUUCCUAAGAAUUGGCACGUCCCUGAUGUACUCUUCCUAUCGACCUUACAUCCAGCAUAGUCGGAGUCUGAGUAUCCAACUAAGUCAAAGGUAGACCCCUUUGGAUACCAGAGCCCGAAGCAAGGCGUAGCAACUAAAUAUCUAAGAAUUCGCUUCACCGCCACUAAGUGACACUCCUUAGGAUUGGAUUGAAAUCUAGCAUACAUGCAUACGCUAAGCAUAAUAUCCGGUCUACUAGCACAUAAAUAAAGUAAAGAUCCUAUCAUUGACCGGUAUGCUUUUUGAUCAACGGACUUACCUCCUUUGUUGAGGUCGAUGUGUCCGUCGGUUCCCAUCGGCGUCUUUGCGGGCUUGGCGUCCUUCAUCCCAAACCGCUUUAGCAGAUCUUGCGUGUACUUCGUUUGGGAGAUGAAAGUGCCAUCCUUGAGUUGCUUCACUUGGAACCCAAGGAAGUAGUUCAACUCACCCAUCAUUGACAUCUUGAAUUUCUGCGUCAUCACCCUGCUAAACUCUUCACAAGACUUUUGAUUAGUAGAACCAAAUAUUAUGUCAUCGACAUAAAUUUGGCACACAAACAAAUCACCAUCACAUGUCUUAGUGAACAGAGUUGGAUCGGCUUUCCCAACCUUGAAAGCAUUAGCAAGUAAAAAGUCUCUAAGGCAUUCAUACCAUGCUCUUGGGGCUUGCUUAAGUCCAUAGAGCGCCUUAGAGAGCUUACACACGUGGUCGGGGUACCGUUCAUCCUUGAAGCCAGGGGGUUGCUCCACAUACACCUCCUCCUUGAUUGGCCCGUUGAGGAAAGCGCUCUUCACAUCCAUUUGAAACAACCUGAAAGAAUGGUGAGCGGCAUAUGCUAGCAAGAUACGAAUUGAUUCUAGCCUAGCCACAGGAGCAAACGUCUCCUCAAAGUCCAAACCUGCGACUUGGGCAUAACCUUUUGCCACAAGUCGAGCCUUGUUCCUCGUCACCACCCCGUGCUCGUCCUGUUUGUUGCGGAACACCCACUUGGUUCCCACAACAUUUUGCUUGGGACGAGGCACCAGUGUCCAAACUUCAUUGCGUUUGAAGUUGUUGAGCUCCUCCUGCAUGGCCAACACCCAGUCCGGAUCUAGCAAGGCCUCCUCUACCCUGAAAGGCUCAAUAGAAGAGACAAAGGAGUAAUGCUCACAAAAAUUAGCUAAUCUAGAUCGAGUAGUUACUCCCUUACUAAUGUCUCCCAAAAUUUGGUCGACAGGAUGAUCCCUUUGAAUCACCGCUCGGACUUGGGCUGGAGGUGCCGGUUGCGCAUCUUCCUCCAUCACAUGAUCAUAUUGUGCUCCCCCUUGAUCACACGUCUCCUGUUGAUGAACCUGUUCAUCGUCUUGAGUUGGGGGAUGCACCGUUGUUGAGGAAGAAGGUUGAUCUUGUUCAUCUUGUUCCUGUGGCCGCACUUCUCCAAUCGCCAUGGUUCUUAUAGCGGCUGUCGGAACAUCUUCUUCAUCUACAUCAUCACAAUCAACAACUUGCUCUCUUGGAGAGCCAUUAGUCUCAUCAAAUACAACGUCGCUAGAGACUUCAACCAAACCCGAUGAUUUGUUGAAGACUCUAUACGCCUUUGUAUUUGAGUCAUAACCUAGCAAAAACCCUUCUACUGCUUUGGGAGCAAACUUAGAAUUUCUACCCUUCUUCACUAGAAUGUAGCACUUGCUCCCAAAUACACGAAAGUAAGAUACAUUGGGUUUGUUACCGGUUAGUAGCUCAUACGACGUCUUCUUGAGGAGACGAUGAAGGUAGACCCUGUUGAUAGCGUGGCAAGCCGUAUUCACGGCUUCCGUCCAAAAACACUCGGGGGUCUUGAACUCUCCUAGCAUCGUCCUUGCCAUGUCGAUGAGCGUCCUGUUCUUCCUCUCUUCCACACCAUUUUGUUGUGGUGUGUAGGGAGCGGAGAACUCGUGCUUGAUCCCUUCUUCUUCAAGGAACUCUUCAACUUGAAGGUUCUUGAACUCGGACCCGUUGUCGCUCCUUAUCUUCUUCACCUUGAGCUCAAACUCAUUUUGAGCUCUCCUGAGGAAGCAUUUGAGGGUCCCUUGGGUUUCAGACUUAUCCUGCAAAAAGAACACCCAAGUGAAGCGGGAAAAGUCAUCAACAAUAACUAAACCAUACUUACUUCCUCCUAUACUCAAAUAGGCGACGGGUCCGAAGAGGUCCAUAUGCAGCAGCUCCAGGGGUCUUGAAGUGGUCAUCACAUUCUUGCUGUGAUGUGCUCCUCCCACUUGUUUACCUGCUUGACAAGCUGCACAAGGUCUAUCUUUUUCGAAUUGCACGUUAGUCAAACCUAUCACGUGUUCUCCCUUUAGAAGCUUGUGAAGGUUCUUCAUCCCCACAUGUGCUAAGCGGCGAUGCCACAGCCAGCCCAUGCUAGUCUUAGCUAUUAAGCAUGCAUCUAGACCGGCUUCUUCUUUUGCAAAAUCAACUAAAUAAAGUUUGCCGUCUAAUACACCCUUAAAUGCUAGUGAACCAUCACUUCUUCUAAAGACAGACACAUCUACAUUUGUAAAUAGACAGUUAUACCCCAUGUUGCAUAAUUGACUAACCGAUAGCAAAUUAUAUCCAAGAGACUCUACUAAAAACACAUUAGAGAUAGAGUGCUCAUUAGAAAUUGCAAUUUUACCUAACCCUUUUACCUUGCCUUGAUUCCCAUCACCGAAUAUAAUUGAAUCUUGGGAAUCCUUGUUCUUGACGUAGGAGGUGAACAUCUUCUUCUCCCCCGUCAUAUGGUUUGUGCAUCCGCUGUCGAUAAUCCAGCUUGAACCCCCGGAUGCAUAAACCUGCAAGGCAAAUUUAGGCUUGGGACUUAGGUACCCAACUCUUGUUGGGUCCUACAAGGUUAGUGCAAAUAUUCUUAGGGACCCAAAUGCAAGUUUUAUCUCCCUUGCAUCUUGCCCCUAACUUCCUAGCAACAAUUUUCUUAUCCUUUCUACAAAUAGCAAAGGAAGCAUUUAGAGUACAAUAAAUUUCGGAAGGUUCAUUCACUACUUUCCUAGGAGCAUUAUGAACUACAUUUCUCCUAGGCAUUUGGUGAACAACAUUUCUUCUAAACACAUUUCUACCAUGCAUAACAUGAGAACUAGAAGCAGUCAUAGCAUAAGAGUCAUAAGCAUGUGAAUCAAAAGCAUCACUACUUCUAAACGCAUUUCUAGAGUAUCUCCUAUCAUAGUACAUGAAAGCAUGAUUCUUCUUAACACUAUUAGCCAUAGGAGCCUUCCCUUUCUCCUUGGUGGAGAUAGGAGUCUUAUGGCUUGUUAAGUUCUUGGCUUCCCUCUUGAAGCCAAGCCCAUCCUUAAUUGAGGGGUGUCUACCAAUAGUGUAGGCAUCCCUUGCAAAUUUUAGUUUUUCAAAUUCACUCUUGCUAGUCUUAAGUUGGGCAUUAAGACUAGCUAAUUCAUCAUUCAAUUUUGAAAUGGAAACUAAGUGUUCACUACAAGCAUUAAUAUCAACAUCCUUACACCUAGUGCAAAUUUCAACAUGUUCAACACAAGAGUUGGAUUUUUGUGCUUCUACUAGUUUAGCAUUUAAGUCAUCAUUAAUGCUCUUUAAUUUAGAAAUUGAAUCAUGGCAUGUAGACAAUUCAUAAGCAAGCAUUUCAUUUCUCUUAAUUUCUAAUGCAAGGGAUUUUUGAGCCUCUACAAACUUAUCAUGUUCUUCGUACAAGAGAUCCUCUUGCUUCUCUAGUAGCCUAUUCUUAUCAUUUAAAGCAUCAAUCAAUUCAUUAAUUUUGUCAAUCUUAGAUCUAUCUAAGCCUUUAAAUAAGCAUAAAUAGUCUAUUUCAUCAUCACUAGACUCAUCCUCACUAGAAGAAGCAUAAGUAGAGUUUCGAGUACUUACUUUCUUCUCCUUAGCCAUGAGGCACGUGUGAUGCUCGUUGGGGAAGAGGGAUGACUUGUUGAAGGCGGUGGCGGCGAGUCCUUCGUUGUCGGAGUCGGACGAGGAGCAAUCCGAAUCCCACUCCUUUCCAAUAUGAGCCUCGCCCUUUGCCUUCUUGUAAUUCUUCUUCUUUUCCCAUUUUCCACUCUUCUUUUCCUGGUCACUAUCAUUAUCGGGACAAUUAGCGAUGAAGUGACCAAUCUUACCACACUUGAAGCAUGAGCGCUUCCCCUUCGUCUUGGUCUUGUUGGGAUGCUCCUUGCGACCCCUUAACGCCGUCUUGAAGCGCUUAAUGAUGAGAGCCAUUUCUUCAUCAUUAAGCCCGACCGCCUCAAUUUGCGCCACUUUGCUUGGUAGUGCCUCCUUGCUUCUCGAUGCCUUGAGAGCAAUGGGUUGAGGCUCGUGGAUUGGACCGUUCAACGCGUCAUCGACGUAUCUCGCCUCCUUGAUCAUCAUCCGCCCGCUUACAAAUUUUCCAAGAAUUUCUUCGGGCGACAUUUUGGUGUACCUGGGAUUCUCACGAAUAUUAUUCACCAAAUGAGGAUCAAGAACGGUAAAGGACCUUAGCAUUAGGCGGACGACGUCGUGGUCCGUCCAUCGCGUGCUUCCAUAGCUCCUUAUCUUGUUGACAAGGGUUUUGAGCCGGUUGUAUGUUUGGGUUGGCUCCUCCCCCCUUAUCAUAGCAAAUCUUCCAAGUUCGCCCUCCACCAACUCCAUCUUGGUGAGCAUGGUGACGUCGUUGCCCUCGUGAGAGAUCUUGAGGGUGUCCCAUAUCUGCUUGGCAUUGUCCAAGCCGCUCACCUUAUUGUAUUCUUCCCUGCACAAAGAUGCUAAAAGAACAGUAGUAGCUUGUGCAUUUCUAUGGAUUUGUUCAUUUAUAAGCAUAGGACUAUUCGAGCUAUCAAAUUUCAUUCCAUUCUCUACAAUCUCCCAUAUGCUUGGAUGAAGAGAGAAUAAGUGACUACGCAUUUUGUGACUCCAAAAUCUGUAGUCCUCCCCAUCAAAGUGUGGAGGUUUGCCGAGAGGAAUGGAAAGCAAAUGCGAAUUCGAACUAUGUGGAAUACGAGAAUAAUCAAAUGAAAAGUUCGAAUUGACCGUCUUCCUGUAGUCGUUGUCGUCGUCCUUUUGGGAAGAAGAGGAUUCGUCGCUGUCGUAGUAGACGAUCUCCUUGAUGCGCCUUGACUUCUUCUUCUUCCCAUCUUUACGUCUGUGGCCCGAGCCAGAGUCGUUGGAUUUAUCAUCUUUUGGCUCGUUGACGAAGGACUCCUUUUCCUUGUCGUUGAUCACGAUUCCCUUCCCCUUAGGAUCCAUCUCUUCGGGCAGUUAGUCCCUUUCUUGAAGAGAACGGCUCUGAUACCAAUUGAGAGCACCUAGAGGGGGGGGGUGAAUAGGUGAUCCUGUAAACUUCAAAACUUAAGCCACAAAACUUUGAUUAAGUGUUAGCACAGUUAAUUGCCAAGUGGCUAGAGAGGAGCCAAGACACAAUAAUCACAAGAAAUCAAUCACAGAGAUGACACGGUGGUUAUCCCGUGGUUCGGCCAAGUACAAAACUUGCCUACUCCACGUUGUGGCGUCCCAACGGACGAGAGUUGCACUCAACUCCUCUCAAGUGAUCCAAUGAUCAACUUGAAUACCACGGUGUUCUUCUUUUCUUUGAUCUUUUCCCGUUUGCGAGGAAUCUCCACAACUUGGAGUCUCUCGCCCUUACAAUUGAAUUUCACAAAGAAGCACGGAGUAAGGGAGGGAAGCAACACACACAAAUCCACAGCAAGAUGCGCACACACACGACCAAGAAACGAGCUCAAGAGACUAUCUCAAAGUUCACACUAGAACGAGCUCGAAUCACUGAGAAUGACAAACGAAUGCGCAAAGACUGAGUGUGGAUGAUCAAGAAUGCUCUAAGGUUGCUUGGUUAUCUCCUCCAUGCGCCUAGGGGUCCCUUUUAUAGCCCCAAGGCAGCUAGGAGCCGUUGAGAGCAAAUCUGGAAGGCUGAUCUUGCCUUCUGUCGUCGGGCGCACCGGACAGUCCGGUGCACACCGGACACUGUCCGGUGCCCGAUUUCCUUCCUUAAACAGCGCAGUCGACCGUUGCUGAUCUGGGAGCCGUUGGCGCACCGGACAUGUCCGGUGCACACCGGACAGUCCGGUGCCCCCUUCCGACCGUUGGCUUGGCCACGUGUCGCGCGCAGAAUCCGCGGCCGACCGUUGGCCCUAGUCGACCGUUGACUCACCGGACAGUCCGGUGCACACCGGACAGUCCGGUGAAUUAUAGCCGUACGCCGUCGGCGAAUUCCCGAGAGCGGCCUGUUCGGCCGAGGCAGCCUGGCGCACCGGACACUGUCCGGUGCACCACCGGACAGUCCGGUGCCCCAGACCGAAACAGCCCCUUGGCUGUACACAGCCACCUUUUUCCUUUUCUUUUUCUUCCUGUUUCCAGUACUUAGACAAGUAUAUUAGUACACAAAACCAAUGUACUAAGACUUAGAAACAUACCUUUGCUCUUGAUUUGCACUUUGUUCAUCCAUUGCAUAAAUUCACAUUUUAAGCACUUGAGUUGGCACUCAAUCACCAAAAUACUUAGAAAUGGCCCAAGGGCACAUUUCCCUUUCAAUAAUCUUGUCCCGGUCCCCUUAAAAGUCAGGAACGGUCCAAGGAACGCUAGAGAUCCACGUGAGGUCCGCCGUUCGCGCGCGGUCUGUUGCGAAGAGCCACGGAGGGGAUGACAGCGUGGGCCCUAGGGGUCAGUGUCGGCGCGUGGGUUAGAAUGACAGCACGGGCCCACAGUUGGGCGUACUAGCGUGGCCAGCAUGCGGGUGUGGGGUGGACCCAGGCUGGCAGAUGGGGAGUGGGCCACGGGGGAAGGCGCAGAUGGGCUAGGUCGUGGGAAACGGCCCAACACUUGCUUCUUUUUUCUUUUUGUUUUCUAUUUCAAAUUUCAAACAUUCAAGCCAAAUUCAAAUUUCUGUUUUGAAUUUCAGGUGUCCAAUCUCAAAUAUAAUCCUAAUGUGAAUAUAAUUCCUACUAUUUUCAAUAUUAUUAUUUAUUCUCCUUCUCAUUAUUUAAUUCUAGAAGUAAUAAAUGACUUUAUUACAAUUUCCUUUCUCAUUUUAUGUUUUAUUUUUUUCAUUUAUAAUUUGAGGCCAAAUUAAGUUAUGAUUCUUUUAUUUCAAUAAAAUGCAUCACAACAAAAUCGUCAGCAUGAAAUGCACAUUUUUUAUUUAUUUAUGGGUUAAUUGACUAAUUUGACUCCAUUAAUUGAUUAUGAAAAUGAAGGGAAUUAAUAAAUCUCCAAAGUUUUUCAAAAGUUCCCAGAACACUAACAUAAAUUUAUUUAUUUAUUUAUCUCAUUAUUUUCCUCUGAUACACAUUUUUGGGCUUUACACUGCUCCCCCAUAGGUCGCGCUGGCUGGCCCUGUCCUCCACUCUAGACAUGCUUUGCUCUCGACCCUCUUGCGAGCGAUGUCCGACGGUGUAAGAUCAAGGAUACCGACUGGAGGGGGUGAAUAGUUGGUUUCAACUAAAAUCAAACACUUGCCAAUUUUAUUAGAAUAACAAGACAAUUAAAUCCUUUAGCCUAUGUCGACCUUAAUUUGGUUUACAAGCUAGCGUGAACAAGUGAUUAAAUUGACUAGCAAUACAAUGAUGAACACAAUAAGCACAAGUGAUAAAGAUUGCAAUAAUGAAAUCAACAAGGAGACACCAGAUUUUUUACCGUGAUCUCGGUGAUUUGUCGAUCACCCAUAAUCCACGUUGAGGUGGGUUCAAUGCACUCACUUGCUCCUCUAUCAAAACCCCGCUUGAUCUUUGAGGCAAAUGGUCAAGGAAUCACUCAAAUAUCGAUUCCACUAUCAUCACUUUUGCCACUCUGGCGAGGAAAGCACACACCUCUCACAAUCUCCUCCACGACUUCUUCAUAAUACUUCUUGAAGAGCUCGACGGAGUCACCACCAAGUCGUCUAGGAGGCAGCAACCUCCAAGAGUAAUAAGUCGAUGACGCUUGCUUGAUGAUUCAUAUAGUGCCUCAAGGUCACUUCGAUGAUGCAACACACUAGAAUCACUCAAUCACUCACUAGAAUGCAAUCCCAAGCUAAGAUAAUGAGUAAGAGCAUUUAGAAUACUCAAGUGUGCUCAAUGUGUGCAAAGAAUGACAAAGAGAACUACCACACACGAGCACCACUUCGAUUUAUAGCUUCCCAAACAGAACUAGCAGUUAUGGGCAAACUGCCCCCUUUCUUCGUAGUCACCCAUCACUUUAAUGACUACUUUUGUUUGAAAGUCAUGUCAGAGCUGUCAGAAAAGCUAGUGCGGAUGGUUCACCAUUCCCGGCUGGACUAUCUGUGACCUAGGAACUUGAACACCCCGAGUUCUGCCAACCUGACUUCAAUACGUGUGGACAGUUCACCGAGCACGGCCGGACGGUCCGCCGAGCAUAGCCAGGAUUUGCGACUUGGGAGUUAUUACUGUCCGGGACCUAGGUCCUAACAAUCCGUAAGCCAACUUACCAAAAACAACACAGUCCCUACUCAAACCAUUUUGGACAUCUACAGACGAUCUGUGCUGUCACACCCGGGCUUUAAGGGACAGAGCCGGGUGCAUCUCAUACAUGCGCCAAAGAAGGCAACAUAUAUAAUAACAAAGUGUAUAGAGAUAAAUGUCACAAUAUAAUCAGAGUACUUAUUACAUAGCGAAAGUCUUAAAAAAUAAAGUUAAAUAUAGAUCGAACUAAAAUCCAUCCUUGGCGCCAGAAAGUCAACUAGGAGACGCCACCUAGAUCGAAUCGAACUCCUCGAUGUGUGGCUCCACUUGAACCACCUGUUCUUCUCUUGUGGGGGGUGUGAAACAGCAAGGAUGAGCUCACACAUGUUCAUCGCUCAACAAGUUAUGGGGAAUAAUGUGGCAUGAACUCACCAAAGGUGGGAAUUCAUGUGAUAUGUGAGCUGAUCAACAAUAGGGGUUAAAGUUGAGCAUUGCUUUUAAUAAGUUGGUCAAAAUUUUAUUAACAGUUACUAAAUGUAAGUGAAUACCAAACCAUAAUAAAAAUAAUACAACAAAAUUAAUAAAUAAUCCCAUGCAAAUGCAAAUGACAAAUUGAAUUUAAGUUCCAUAAAUUAAUCAUGCGAGACUCCUGAGCUGCUCAUGACCGUGAGCUCGGCUAGUAUACCAGUUUUACACUCUGCAGAGGUUGUACCCUGUACCCACAAGUCGUGUAUCCCAUGUCGCCAGGGUUUGCAAGGCCCUUAGACACUACCGAGGUGAAUGGCUAGGGAUCCACUACGAGGCAUCUACAAAGUUCCACUAGCUUCCAAAAACCUACAUCGCAGAAAAUCAACCCGAGAACCUCCUUGCAUGCAACUCCCCUACUGCCCUUGCCCCUUUCGGGUAAGGUAGUCUUCCACUAGCUUUCCUAAUUAGUCAGCCAAGGGCGUCCCAUUCCACCCUUGUGGUGGCACGUGUUUCUCAAGUUAAGCUUGAUGUUCUAAUUAAUAUUAAUGAUCUUGACAUGAACAUAAAUAGAAUAACAAAAUAAUUAGAACAUGGAUAUAAUGAAAUAUUAUCCCAAAACCAUGUAAAGCAAUAGCAAAACUAACCAAGUGAUUAAGGGAUAACAAGGUAAAGUGAUAAACAGUCUAGGGUGACCUAUUGGGUCCCAUCAAAAUUAAACCUAUGCAUUGAAUAGUGAUAAUAAAGAAUAUUAUUGGGUAACAAAAGUGGAUCAAGGGCACAACUUGCCUGGCACUUGAGAUUCCAGUUACCAGGGUGAUUCUUCGGAUCCUUGUGACUGCACUGCUAGUUGUAGCAAUACAAACAAACAUGGUAUAGACAAAAUUAACAUCACACCAAACAUAAGUACAAACUGAAUAAUAAUGAUCUACGCGUUUUAACGAUAUCGUGGGAUCGAGAACUAGUAAAAUCGGGGUCAUGGUUAUGAAGUUAUGAUUUUCUGAAGUAUUAUGUGAUUAAACAGGAAAACUCAAUCCUAGGUCGAUUUUAAGUAAUAUAAAUCAUGUGAGAAAGAUAAUUGAAAUAAUUAACUAACUUACUCUUGAUCAGAUUAUACUUGAUUAGAAAACAUAUUUUAGCUCCCAUUAUAAUCAUAGACAUAGUAAUCUUUGGUUAGUAGGAUAAAUCUACUAAACAUAGGAUAAAUAAAUAUCUAAUUGUAAAAGUAUAUGAUAUGAUAUAAUUAGGGCUAACAUUGUGUAGGCAAUCUUAUUACAAAAUUAACGCAACUGGAACAUGUCAAUUUGGGGUUAAAACAGAUAAGUUAUGGAUUUUCUACCUUUUCUAGAAUUAUUUCUAUAUUAAAAACCGAUUUCCAUAUUUAUUUUGCAACUUGUGGACCGCGGCCAUUAAUUUUAGGAAGUACAUGGUCUUUCACGUAAAUAUUUGGACCUGGUUGCAAUGAUCCGAACGCUGCCAAGGAUGGCGGGUUAAUUCAUGUGUUUGUCAGGGGCCCCUUAGAAAAAUGUACCCGCGAAGGGGUACAAUGCGAUCUGAGCCGCAGGAUCGGAGUUCUGUAGCUGCGAUUAGAUCGACCAAUAACACUAAACCGGUAUGCGAUCGGGACCGUUCGAUAUCGAUCAACGCACAGGAUUUAAAAACGUUGGGACCAGAUCUCCACCGUCGAUAACCCGAUCCACGAUCACGGCUUUAAUUCACUCGAUUGGCUCAACACCACAUAUCUGUCGAUCGACGGCAAUGGCGAACCCGAGUCGAACCAACGCUCUCCUAGACCCCAUUCACCCGAUCAAGAUCCAAUGGUCCCUGAUCGUCGCCCCUUCUAACCACACUGACUAUCAUCGCGCGGCGGCAUGCGACGGCCGACGGCCAUGGUGGCUGGCGAGCAGUGCCCCGCGGCCCAGGCGCUCUAAUUCUACGCUAAUAAGGGUAGGAGAUUGAGAAGAUCCACGCGAACACAAUAGAGGAUGACUUACCGGAGCUCACACAAUGCAGAUCCCUGUCCACGGUGAUAGGCGGGCACACGACGGUGACCAUGCUCCGAUGAGCGAUUCAGCCAACACAGACCGAUCACCACCGCUCACAAGGUCACGGCCGAGUCCAGAGCUGCAUGGCGAAUCUCCCUGGCCCCAUGCCAUGGUCCAGAGAUCGACACGCGCACAUGCCCCAUGGCGGCACAUCCCGCCUCGCUCUCUCUCUCUCUCACCGGUGAGACUCAUGGUUGGUCCUAGCAUCUAAGAAUGAACGGCGUGAGAUUCACGCGUUAGGAAGGAGGGGCGAAGGUUGAAGAUGGGUUGUCACAGGGCUAGGGCGCUACAUGUAGGAGCAGGAAGAUCCGGGAUUGAGCCACGAACCCCCGAUCUCCCCGCGCCAGUCUGCAGUUGAGCCUGGCGGCUCUUAAGGGCAUGCGAGUGGAGACCCAGGAGCUUGACGCGCAGGAGUAGCCGCCUGCACUGGUGUCGGGGUAGUUACGCAUCGGGCGGGAUUCGGAACUGGGACUCCGGAUUCCCAGGCGAGCUUGGAGGAUUCGGCUGCAAGUGCUCGCGCACGAUUGAAGAAGAAUAGGAGCGCUACUGACAAGAGGGCCCACCUGCAGGACACCGCGCCAACGUGCUAGCACGGACAAAAAAGAUAGAAACGGAGACUGGAGUGAUGGCCCCACCCGUCAGCGCUGUGUAUGUGGAAUCUAGUUGUGCCGUGCGGGUGAGGAAUUGGUUGGGCCGAAUUGGUCGGCGCGGCCCAUUUAGGUUAGAAUUCUUUCUCUAUUUCUUUUCUUAUUUUCUUCAUUUUCCUUUUAAUUUCUAAAAUUCAAAUUUGAAUUCAAUUUUUAAUUGUGAACUCUUGCUCAUUUUAAAUGUACAAAUUGAAGCCAUUAAUAUGGAAGGUCUAACUGUUUUUUUAUAUUUAUAUUUUCUUUAUCUUUGCUUGGUAUUCUCCUUUUCUUUUCUCCACAUUUUAAUUUCCAAAUUUGGUUUCAAUUCAAAUUUGGACAUUAUUGAAUUUCUAUUAAUAUCUUCAUUAUUAUUAUCAAAUGCACACACAUAUAAACUCCAACACGAUGCAAUAGAUAUAUAUAUUUAUUUUAAUUGAUUUAUUUGUUUGGUAGAUGUUCGAAAUAUGCAAAACACUCAUAUUGUUUUCUUUCUCCUUAGGAAAAUAAUAUUUUGAAGGUGGGAUAAGAAGUAAAAGUUACUUUAGAAUUAAGUAAUCAUGUAAAUAAAUGCUUAUGGUACAUCAUCUAUUGAUAUGCAUAAUCAUUUAGUUGAAUAGAAAUCUAAUCUAUCACUUCUCUUCUGAGAUAAUUCUUGGAUUCCAAAACUGAGUCCUCAAAUUUCAACACUCAGGUAUACUUUGAGAUAUCUGAAUUUACUAUUUUCUUUCUUCAUAUAUUUACUUUAUUAUUAUUUUUUCUAUACAUAUUUUGGGCCUUACAAAUCCUACCCCCUUAACAGAAAUCUCGUCCUCGAGAUUUGUAAGGAAAGGGUGUAUAACCAUGCUAUCUCAAAACAUAUGCACAAACAAAAUCUCAGCAUGAUGCAUACUUUAUUAGCAACACAUGGGGUCAAUUAGACCUUAUUAUUCCUCCUAAAAUAGUAUCAUACCAUCUAAUAACUAAAGUAACACUUAGAUCUUACAAAUAGUAGUAAUAUAUAUGUAUGUUUAUGUAGCUUGGUGGAGCUGGUGGUGGUGGUGGUAGUGGGUGUUGUUGUUGUCUUUCCAACUAUGCUUGCUUUAUUUCUCGACGUAUCUCUAGCCGGUCCUGACGUAUUUCCUCGCAUUCUUGUCUUAUCUGAUUUUGCAAUUCGGUAACCAUGUUUGCCAUUUUGUUGUAUUAGCAUCAUUUGGGUGGCAACCACUUGAUCGAUUCCAACUGGUGGGGGAUUUGGAGGAUUCAUUUCUGUUUGCUGUUGCUUGAUGAUCUUCCCUUUCUGGUAUUGACCAUGAGAGUUAAAAGCAUAUAGUAAUAUAAUUUUGCAAGGAAAAUUAUUUGGUCAGUAGGAUGAAUAGGCCAAUAACUGGUUAUGAUCUGAAGAUUCUUUGGCAGGGAUUAAUCUUUGUUUUAUGCCAAGCUUGGGAUAACUAGUCGUAUAAGAUGAAUGUCCAAAGGUAAGAUAGAAUCUGUCAGGAUGAGAUAGAUAUGGGUGAGAUAGACUACAUGGUGUAGGUCAAAAGUUUGUUUGAUGUUAGGUGGGGAUAGAUAGAUUAUGCAACCCAUCAUGACACUAAGGGUUGGGUUAGCUCUUAUGCUCCUGGUUGUGUUGGUUUAAUGUGCUAAGUUAUGUCAACACCUGACUAGUAGGGUUCCAGUACCAUUAAUUUGUCUAAGUAGACCACAUUAGUUCAGAUCACAUUAGAUCGCAUUAGAUUCUAUAAUCCUAUUUAAGAAUAUCAUUUAGUUAAGUGUAUCAAGCUGACCUUAUCUUUAUAUAUAUAUAUAUAUAUAUAUAUAUAUAUAUAUAUAUUACACCUGAUUUUUUAUGCCAUUAGCAGGUGUGGUAUAGAAACAAGGGUACAUCAUGUUUUAGCUAUUUGGUGAGUGUUGACAUAGAAAAAGUGUACUAUGGCAUAAUGAAGCCUCCUUUGGGGGUCUGAAUUAGGGACCAUCGGUCAUGGGGUUAGAUGCCAUUAUCCAAGUUGGGAUAACAAUUGCGGGUACACAGGAUAGGUGUAGUAAACAUAGUUUUACUUCGCCUUUGGGAUAAAUGAGUUGGGCAACCUAUAACAUAGGCUGGGUCAUGGUUCCACGAACGGGUUGGUCUAAGACACCAAUUUAAAUUUAAAACUCAUUUAUCGGAAUGUGGUUUAGUUAAUACUUGUAAUAUAGAUUAGACCAUAUUAGAUUAGGUAGGGUCUAAAUUAGAUUGGAUAUAACUGGUUUAAACUUAGUUUAAGUUAGAUAGGUCUACCAGGUUAGAUUAUAUACUAUUAGGAUAUGUUAGAAUCUUUUGAGAUAAGAUGGAUUCUAUGGUGUAGGUAGGUCAGAAUCUCUGUCGGUUAAAACAGAGGGGUCAUGCAACUAUCGGGUGGUUAAGGUAGUUGCAUAUGGCCAGGUUGGACUAAAACCCAAUUUAGGUUAAAACAUAUUUACAAGAGUAGGAUCCAAUCUUAUUUUACCAGUAUUAUCUAACAUGUUUGUCCAUUAGAUUAGAUCUGACUAGAUUAGAUGGGAUCAGAAUUAAAUUAGUGUAAUCAGAUUAGACUAGACAAGAUCUACCCAAUUUAUUUUGUAAAGGGAUCAUGUUUGUUACACUUUUAUGAGAUAAGCAAAGUGGUUGGGAUAAGUAUGCUCAUUAGGACAAGAUGAGUCUCUAAGAAUAAGAUAGAAUCUUUUGAGAUUAGUUAGAUCUAUUAGGAUAAGAUGAGAAUCCUUUCGAGAUGAGAUGAGUCUAUUAAGGUAAGAGAGUAUCUUUUAAGAUAAGAUGGAUCAUUUAAGAUAAGAAAGAGUCUUUUAAGGUAAGAGGGAUUUCUAUGAAAUAGAUACAUUUUAAUGGAGGAUAAUCUAAGUUGUUUAGUAAUCUUAUGAAUUCUAUUUAUGCCUAUACGUAUAUGCAGAUAUAAUUGUGGACAUUACUCCACAACUAAUCACACUCAAUCAAAGAUCCAAAUCAGACAAAUAUCAUAGGAACAAACACUCAAGCAUAUAGGCACCUAUAAAAAAUAGUUUUGUUUUUUGUUCCUAAGAGUAGGUCUCCUAUUCCUAAAGGUUACUUUAGGCACAGGAUUUCAAAGUGUGAAAUCCACAUUUGUCUUUAGAAAGAAAAGGUAAGAAUAAUCAGAGUAAAGCUGAAAUAGACGAGAAAAGAUUAAGAUAAGUUUAGAAAGAAUCAGAGUAGCAGAGGUAAGUAGGAAUUGGUUGUCCAGUUCUAUCUAGGUUUCGUCCUACAGUCAACAUUCCUCUGAUACCACUUCUAUCACACCCGGGCUUUAAGAGACAAAGCCGGGUGCAUCUCAUACAUGCGCCAAAGAAGACAACAUAUAUAAUAACAGAGUGUAUAGAGAUAAAUGUCACAAUAUAAUCAGAGUACUUAUUACAUAGCGGAAGUCUUACAAAAUAAAGCUAAAUAUAGAUCGAACUAAAAUCCAUCCUUGGCGCCAGAAAGUCAACUGGGAGACGCCACCUAGAUCGAAUCGAACUCCUCGAUGUGUGGCUCCACUUGAACCACCUGUUCUUCUCCUGUGGGGGUGUAAGACAGCAAGGGUGAGCUAACACAUGUUCAUCGCUCAACAAGUUGUGGGGAAUAAUGUGGCAUGAACUCACCAAAGGUGGGAGUUCAUGUGAUGUGUGAAGCUGAUCAACAAUAGGGGUUAAACCUGAGCAUUGCUUUUUAAUAAGUUGGUCAAAAUUUUAUUAGCAGUUACUAAAUGUAAGUGAAUACCAAACCAUAAUAAAAAUAAUAUAACAAAAUUAAUAAAUAAUCCCAUGCAAAUGACAAAUUGGAUUUAAGUUCCAUAAAUUAAUCAUGCGAGAGUCCUGAGCUACUCAUGACAGUGAGCUUGGCUAGUAUACAAGUUUUACACUCUGUAGAGGUUAUACCCUGUACCCACAAGUCGUGUAUCCCAUGUCGUUAGGGUUUGCAAGGCCCUUAGACACUACCAAGGUGAAUGGCUAGGGAUCCACAACGAGGCCUUUACAAAGUUCCACUAGCUUCCGAAAACCUCCAUCGCAGAAAAUCAACGCGAGAACCUCCUUGCAUGCAACUCCCCUACUGCUCUUGCCUCUUUCGGGUAAGGUAGUCUUCCACUAGCUUUCCUAAUUAGUCAGCCAAGGGCGUCCCAUUCCACCCUUGUGGUGGCACGUGUUUCUCAAGAUAAGCUCCAUGUUCCAAUUAAAAUUAAUGAUCUUGACAUGAACAUAAAUAGAAUAACAAAAUAAUUGGAACAUGGAUAUAAUGAAAUAUUAUCCCAAAACCAUGUAAAGCAAUAGCAAAAAUAUCCAAGUGAUUCAGGGAUAACAAGGUAAAGUGAUAAACAGUCUAGGGUGACCUAUUGGGUCCCAUCAAAAUUAAACCUAUGCAUUGAAUAGUGAUAAUAAAGAAUAUUAUUGGGUAAUAAAAGUGGAUCAAGGGCACAACUUGCCUAGCACUUGAGAUUCCAGUUACCAGGGUGAUUCUUCGGAUCCUCGUGACCGCACUGCUAGUCGUAGCAAUACAAACAGACAUGGUAUAGACAAAAUUAACAUCACACCAAACAUAAGUACAAACUGAAUAAUAAUGAUCUACGCGUCGUAACGAGAUUGUGGGAUCGAGAACUAGUAAAAUCGGGGUCAUGGUUAUGAAGUUAUGAUUUUCUAAAGUAUUAUGUGAUUAAACAGGAAAACUCAAUCCUAGGUCGAUUAUACGUAAUAUAAAUCAUGUGAGAAAGAUAAUUGAAAUAAUUAACUAACUUACUCUUGAUCAGAUUAAACUUUAUUAGAAAACAUAUUUUAGCUCCCAUUAUAAUCAUAGACAUAGUAAUCUUUGGUUAGUAGGAUAAAUCUACUAAACAUAGGAUAAAUAAAUAUCUAAUUGUAAAAGUAUAUGAUAUGAUAUAAUUAGGGCUAACAUUGUGUAGGCAAUCUUAUUACGAAACUAACGCAACUGGAACAGGUCAAUUUGGGGUUAAAACAGAUAAGUUAUGAAUUUUCUGCCUUUUCUAGAAUUAUUCCUAUAUUAAAAACCGAUUUCCAUAUUUAUUUUGCAACUUGUGGACCACAGCCAUUAAUUUCAGGAAGCACAGGGUCUUUCACGUAAAUAUUUGGACCUGGUUGCAAUGAUCCGAACGCUGCCGAGGAUGGCGGGUUAAUUCAUGUGUUUGUGAGGGGGCCCUUAGAAAAAUGUAUCCACGAAGGGGUACAAUGUGAUCUGAGCCGCAGGAUCAGAGUUCUAUGGCUACGAUUAGAUCGACCAAUAACACUGAAUCGGUAUGCGACGGGGACCGUUCGAUACAGAUCAACGCACAUGAUUUAAAAACGCUGGGACCAGAUCUCCACCGUCGAUAACCCGAUCCACGAUCACGGUUUUAAUUCACGCGAUUGGCUCAACACCACACAUCUGUCGAUCGACGGUAGUGGCGAACCCGAGUCGAACCAAUGCUCGCCUAGACCCCAUUCACCUGAUCAAGAUCAAAUGGUCCCUGAUCGUCGCCCCUUCUAACCACACCGACUAUCAUCGCGCGGUGGCGCGCGACGGCCGACGGCCAUGCCACGCUAGCGAGCAUUGCCCCGCGGCCCAGGCGCUCUAAUUCUACGCUAAUAAGGGUAGGAGAUUGAGAAGAUCCACGCGAACACAGUAGAGGAUGACUUACCGGAGCUCAAGCAAUGCAAAUCCAUGUCCACGGUGACAGGCGGGCACGCGACGGUGACCAUGCUCCGACGAGCGAUUCAGCCAACGCCAACCGAUCACCACCGCUCACAAGGUCACGGCCGAGUCUAGAGCUGCAUGGCGAAUCUCCCUGGCCCCAUGCCAUGGUCCAGAGAUCGACACGCGUGCAUGCCCCAUGGCGACACAUCCCGCCUCACUCUCUCUCUCUCUCUCUCUCUCUCUCUCUCUCUCUCUCUCACCGGCGAGACUCACAGUUGGUCCUAGUGGCUAAGAAUGAACGGCGCGAGAUUCACGCAUUAGGAAGGAGGGGCGGAGGUUGAAGAUGGGUUGUCACAGGGCUAGGACGCUACAUGUAGGAGCAAGAAGAUCCGGGAUUGAGCCACGAACCCCCGAUCUCCCCGCGUCAGUCCGCAGUUGAGCCUGGCGGCUUUUAAGGACGUGCGAG